ensembl:lncRNA
UCGCUGUCUCUCUCUCUCGAUGUCUCUCUCUCUCUCUCGCUGUCUCUCUCUCUCUCUCGCAGUCUCUCUCUCUCUCUCGCUGUCUCUCUCUCUCUCGCUGUCUCUCUCUCUCUCUCUCGCUGUCUCUCUCUCUCUCUCUCGCGCGGUCUCUCUCUCUCUCUCGCGGUCUCUCUCUCGCGGUCUCUCUCUCUCUCUCUCUCAGUCUCUCUCUCUCUCGCUCUCUCUCUCUCUCUCUCUCUCUCGCAGUCUCUCUCUCUCUCGCAGUCUCUCUCUCUCUCUCUCUCGCAUCCUCUCUCUCUCUCGUCUCUCUCUCUCUCUCUCUCUCGCAGUCUCUCUCUCUCUCUCUCUCUCUCGCAGUCUCUCUCUCUCUCUCUCAGCAGUCUCUCUCUCUCUCUCUCGCAGUCUCUCUCUCUCUCUCUCUCGCAGUCUCUCUCUCUCUCUCUCUCGCAGUCUCUCUCUCUCUCUCUCGCAGUCUCUCUCUCUCUCUCGCAGUCUCUCUCUCUCUCUCUCUCUCUCUCUCUCUCUCUCUCUCUCUCGCAUCUCUCUCUCUCUCUCUCUCGCAGUCUCUCUCUCUCUCUCUCUCUCAGUCUCUCUCUCUCUCUCGCAGUCUCUCUCUCUCUCGCAGUCUCUCUCUCUCUCUCUCUCUCUCUCGCAGUCUCUCUCUCUCUCGCAGUCUCUCUCUCUCUCUCUCUCGCAGUCUCU